CGGCCAGCCCGCGCUCCCGCACACCCCGCCCGCUCGCCCGCGCGUGUGUACGUGCGCCGGAGGCCUGGAGAGACCGGAGUUUAACGCCCAGUCUUUCUUUCAGGGUCCCCCUCCUGGAUGUGGCAGGCCUCCCAGAUUCCCCUGGAAGUUCUGACUUGCCCAUACACACAAGGACCUCAGGAAACCCAAUAGUGACUUUCCUCAGAUCUGUGAAUUCCUUCUUCUGGAAAAUAACCUUCUCAACAAUUGUGUAAGUUCUCAUAAUACAUCCCUGAUUCCAUUAUAUUCAUAAUGGUUCCACUUUCAUGAAAGAGUGGCUGGCAGAGCUCAAAUCCAAGACUUCUGGGUUCUUUUCACUAUUCUACAAGAAAUCCAACUUAGGUAGAUAAGAUCUUGAGACAAAUAGCUGCAUGUAAGUGAAAAACUGAAUGACAGUGUAUGAACUACUGAAGGAGAGAUUGACAUUCAAACCGGGCUCUUCAAGGACUAGCAGGAUAUCUACUAUAUGAAGGGUGAAGGAGUUUCUAUUCAGACACAAAGGGAAGAAAUGCUGAAACCCAUUAGGAAAAUUACUAGUAAUAAAAACAUCAUGUAUUGAAUUCCUGCUGUCUCUAACCAUAUUAAAAAUAGUCUUACCAUAGCUGACAAAACUUCCCUAUAAGGUAUGUAAGACACCAAUGUCCUAGUUAGGAAACUUGGCCAUGAUCGCACACCUUCUAAAUAUCAGAGUCUUGACUCAAAUAUGCCUGUGUCUGACUGUAAAGCCCUGUGAAAAAUUAUGCACAAAUGCCUCCUAGCAACAGUAUGAGUUUAAAAAAGCUAGAGUUCUCCCAUCAAGGUGCCUCUCAUUCUAUUUUCUCCCUCAUCUGCCAUCCUUCCACACACCUACCUCUCACCGUGCUCUCUGGGCAGUUAUGACUCAAGAUUGUUCGUGUCUAAUUACUGUUGCCAAGCAAACAUGAAGAAGGAAGGUUCAAGAAAUAGCAUAUUUCACAAUUUUUCUACUGUUAUUUGUUAGUCCUCAUUAGACUACUCAGAAUUUGUGUUACUGUAUAUUGGAAACAAAAUUAUGUCUAUCACCUUAACGUUUCUACGACUUGUAUUUUUCAAAUAUAAACUUAGUGAAUUAGACUAGGUCGUCUCCAAAAACCCAUCAUAAGAUUCAACAUGUUCUCUUUUGUGCUUUCUUUCUAGAUAAUGGAGUCCUUUAUGUUGUAAACAAGAAUAAAAAAGAAAGUAUAGAUAUUGUGGAGUAGUUUUUUUGUGGGGGGGGGGUCCUUUCUUUAAAAACCGUGUGAAUAUGUGGUUCUCAAUCAUUAUAUCCAAAACAUUUUACUAUUUUUCUUGUAAGCCUUGUAUUUUAUUAAUAUUUUUGUCAAACAAAUUAAAUGGUAAUAAUACAUCCAUUUUACAUGCCAGGCAGAACUUCUAAAUAGCAGAUAAAAGACCUGUUACCUCAUCAAGGUAAUGAAUUCCAGCCCAAACAAAGACAUUUCAAGAUUUUUUUUAGCUUCAGUAGCGUUACCUUGGGAAAAAUAGUCAGUUUUUAAGAUUUUGUGGAAAUACAGGAAAUAGUGUCUAUUUUUGCAAAUCAUUAUGGAUAUAGGAACCCCAAAUCUAUUGAUAUAGACCUGCUUUUUCCCUCCUUUUUUCAUUUAACAAAAACUUAGUCAUGGAUUUAUUGUGCAUGAAGCCUUCUUAGGUUUCUACAAAGAUCAUAAAGAAAUAUAACAGG
rnacentral:lncRNA from 1 species